GACGAACGCUGGCGGCGUGCCUAGUACAUGCAAGUAGAACGCACAGUUUAUACCGUAGCUUGCUACACCAUAGACUGUGAGUUGCGAACGGGUGAGUAACGCGUAGGUAACCUGCCUGGUAGCGGGGGAUAACUAUUGGAAACGAUAGCUAAUACCGCAUAAUAUUAAUUAUUGCAUGGUAAUUAAUUGAAAGGUGCAAUUGCACCACUACCAGAUGGACCUGCGUUGUAUUAGCUAGUAGGUGAGGUAACGGCUCACCUAGGCGACGAUACAUAGCCGACCUGAGAGGGUGAUCGGCCACACUGGGACUGAGACACGGCCCAGACUCCUACGGGAGGCAGCAGUAGGGAAUCUUCGGCAAUGGACGAAAGUCUGACCGAGCAACGCCGCGUGAGUGAAGAAGGUUUUCGGAUCGUAAAGCUCUGUUGUAAGAGAAGAACGGGUGUGAGAGUGGAAAGUUCACACUGUGACGGUAUCUUACCAGAAAGGGACGGCUAACUACGUG
rnacentral:rRNA from 1 species